AGGGUUUGAUCAUGGCUCAGGAUGAACGCUAGCGGCAGGCCUAACACAUGCAAGUAGAACGGUAACAGAGAGAGCUUGCUCUCUGCUGACGAGUUGCGAACGGGUGCGUAACGCGUAUGCAACCUACCCAUAACAGGGGGAUAGCCCAUAGAAAUGUGGAUUAAUACCCCAUAACAUCAUAGAUUGGCAUCAUGAAAUGAUUAAAACUCCGGUGGUUAUGGAUGGGCAUGCGUGACAUUAGCUAGUUGGUGAGGUAACUGCUCACCAAGGCUACGAUGUCUAGGGGUUCUGAGAGGAUGAUCCCCCACACUGGUACUGAGACACGGACCAGACUCCUACGGGAGGCAGCAGUGAGGAAUAUUGCGCAAUGGAGGAAACUCUGACGCAGCCAUGCCGCGUGCAGGAAGACUGCCCUAUGGGUUGUAAACUGCUUUUAUAUAGGAAGAACUACAGCUACGUGUAGCUGUUUGACGGUACUAUACGAAUAAGGACCGGCUAACUCCGUGCCAGCCGCCGCGGUAAUAC
rnacentral:rRNA from 1 species